rnacentral:rRNA from 1 species
GACGAACGCUGGCGGCGUGCUUAACACAUGCAAGUCGAACGCUGACGCUUGGUGCUUGCACUGGGUGGAUGAGUGGCGAACGGGUGAGUAAUACGUGCGUAACCUGCUCUUGACUCUGGGAUAAGCCUGGGGAACUGGUUCUAAUACUGGCUACGACAUGUCACCGCAUGGUGGUGUGUGGCUAGGGUUUUUGUGGUUUUGGAUGGGCUCACGGCCUAUCAGCUUGUUGGUGGGGUAAUGGCCCACCAAGGCGACGACCGGUAGCCGGCCUGAGAGGGUGACCGGCCACAAUGGGACUGCGACACGGAGCAGAGUCCUACGGGAGGCAGCAGUGGGGAAUAUUGCACAAUGGGAGGGAGCGUGAUGAAGAGACGCCGCGUGAGGGAUGACGGCCUUCGGGUUGUAAAAAUCUUUCAGCAAGGAAGAAGCGAAAGUGACGGUACGUGAAGAAGAAGCGCCGGCUAACUACGUG